UGUGUGGUGGUAAACGGAGGGACUCUCGAAGUCGGCGGUGACGGUUCAGGGUGACGGCGGGGCGGCCUGGGGGCGUGGGAUCCGCAAGGACCCUGUCCCUUUGUCAGCUCUGUCGGCGCCUGCACUUCGUUGCCGCCAUACGCGAUGAACCGUUUCUGGCGGACCGAGGGCGUGGGUGAAGUUUGUUGGCCUCGGCUUUCAAGCCCCGCGUUCCUGGCUCUGUCGGGGACGGGUAGUGGAGCGAUCUCUUAUAGAGAGUGCCCUUGCUGGCACGGUUCGCAUCUCUAUCGCGAGUAGGUCGGCG
rnacentral:rRNA from 1 species